rnacentral:rRNA from 1 species
GACGAACGCUGGCGGCGUGCUUAACACAUGCAAGUCGAACGGAAAGGCCCUGCUUGCAGGGUACUCGAGUGGCGAACGGGUGAGUAACACGUGGGUGAUCUGCCCUGCACUUCGGGAUAAGCCUGGGAAACUGGGUCUAAUACCGGAUAGGAGCCAUUUUUAGUGUGAUGGUUGGAAAGUUUUUUCGGUGUAGGAUGAGCUCGCGGCCUAUCAGCUUGUUGGUGGGGUAAUGGCCUACCAAGGCGGCGACGGGUAGCCGGCCUGAGAGGGUGGACGGCCACAUUGGGACUGAGAGUCGGCCCCGGCUCCGACGGGUGGCAGCAGUGGGGAAUAUUGCUCAAUGGGCGCAAGCCUGAUGCAGCGACGCCGCGUGGGGGAUGACGGCCUUCGGGUUGUAAACUCCUUUCGCUAGGGACGAAGCUUUUUGUGACGGUACCUAGAGAAGAAGCACCGGCUAACUACGUG